GAGGGUAUAGCUCACUGUUUGAGUGUGUACUUAGCAUGUACGAGGCCCUGGGUUCAAUUCCCAAUCUCUCCA
rnacentral:tRNA from 1 species